rnacentral:rRNA from 1 species
CAGUCGUACCUUCGGGUAAUCAGCCUUUCGGGUGCGAUUCUGUGGAGUGUGAGGAGCUUAACACCUUCAUGCUUUGCAUAUUUGUGCUCUUGGGUGUACUUGCCCGUGUGGUUGGUUAACAUCAAUUUUGGUUAUCAUAAAAUGAUUGGAGGAAUGUAGCUUCGAUCUCGUAUUGAAGUGUUAUAGCCUUCGGUAGAUGUGAUGAUCGAGAUUGAGGAUUGCAACGGAUACCCUUCGGGGCUACCUGUCUGGUCUCUGAUCGUUGCUCUGGUGCCGAAAGCUUGCUUACGGUUAUCAAAGUCGAUGGUCAAUAGGUUAGAACGGGUUAAA